rnacentral:rRNA from 1 species
CCUACGGGGGGCUGCAGUGGGGAAUAUUGGACAAUGGGCGAAAGCCUGAUCCAGCCAUGCCGCGUGUGUGAAGAAGGCCUUCGGGUUGUAAAGCACUUUCAGUGGGGAAGAAAGCCUUGGGGCUAAUACCCUCGAGGAAGGACAUUACCCACAGAAGAAGCACCGGCUAACUCCGUGCCAGCAGCCGCGGUAAUACGGAGGGUGCGAGCGUUAAUCGGAAUUACUGGGCGUAAAGCGCGCGUAGGCGGUUUGAUAAGCCGGUUGUGAAAGCCCCGGGCUCAACCUGGGAACGGCAUCCGGAACUGUCAGGCUAGAGUGCAGUAGAGGAAGGUAGAAUUCCCGGUGUAGCGGUGAAAUGCGUAGAGAUCGGGAGGAAUACCAGUGGCGAAGGCGGCCUUCUGGACUGACACUGACGCUGAGGUGCGAAAGCGUGGGUAGCAAACAGGAUUAGAUACCCCAGUAGUC